GCCGUUGCCAUGAUUACCUGCAGAACGAUGACAACACAACUGCCUGCCAAUCAGGAACAGCUAAUUUCCGAGGCCAUGGUAAAGAUCACGUUCUAAAGGUUGGAAUCAUUUUAAUAAAUGCACCAACAAUUAGAGAUGGAAUCCUUCAGAGAGCUCACAAGGUCUCACAUAGCUUCCAGGAGAGAAAUUACUGCCUGGCUCUCUUUGAAUUUCAGGUCUGAGAGGAAGCGAUCAGAGCUCGCGGUCCCAACAGCACCGAGGAGCCGCUUGAAACGCCAGGAGCUGCUACAGUCUUACUCAGGUGUGUCGACAAAGAGGCAAAAGCAGGCGGAAAGUUCAUAGACAGAGUGCUGUCUGUUUCCGGAUUUUGCGAGGCAGCACACGUCCAGGCGAGAUGUGGGGUCCGACUGAAAUGACUCCUGAAACAUCCAUCACUGCAAAUUACACAUUUGGUAGUGCUGAUUCCCUCUUUUGGGCUAAUGAAGUUAUAUGCCCCUGCACAACUACCACGAUGCCUGCUAAUGUCUUUUAAUUUGCAAAGAUAAUUACAACAAGGAAGGUUCCACUUGAAAAUCCAUACAUGCCAGCAAACGGAGCUAAAAUCGACCAAUCCACAGGGGUAAUUAUUUCUCCCUUGGAUCAUCUAAUGUAUAUAUACAUCUCAGGGGGCUAAUCACACUGAUCUAAUGCUUUAUGCAAUAAUAAAGCAGUCAGGGUUGACAUGACAUGUGUACAGGAUAUAAAAUGAGCAUUUGCGUGCAACUACUUAUGCAUACUAAUGUGCUUAGCAACGCGUCUGUUCGGCGCCUUGUUUGGGAAAUGCCAACAUUUGCAUUUGGUGCCUAAAGGUGCAAGAGAACCAGGCUAGGCUAUGCCCCGACAUUGUGCAAUCUGCACGAAGCCGAUGUAACAACAGAACAUGUUGUUAUCUUAAGGUUAAAAACACACGCGCAUGCUCACUCAUAUGCAUGCAAGGCGAGCGAGACAAACAACGGAGGAGCAGGCUGCGGGAGACUUAGUGGCAAGGAGAGUCUAGACAUAAUGAGUUUAAUAACGUACAAUGUUCAUUAAAACAUAGCUCACAGCCUCUCCGGAGGUGUCAUUCCUGUCAGAUUAGUGGUGCUGAGAUAUGGAUGGCACCGAGCGGAAGCAGCCCAUAUGGUCUGUCUGCUUGACAGCACUGUGACCCACAACAGAUGUGCUGUUCUUCUCUCCCCUGAUGUUAGACUCUGCCUCUUUGUCACACCUGUGUUUUCUCCCAAGCCACACAAUAACAUCAAGAAAUGACACCGCUGGAUUCGCCCUCUGACUCAACAAAGGAUUGUGGUCGGCCGCAAAAUACAUUUUGACUUAAUUAGGGAGGCUGGCUUCCUUCUGGGCAUUAUUAGAAUAAUGGCAACCUAAGAAAAAGAUAAAUU